CAUUGAAACACCGGUGCUCAUACGAUCACCGAAGUUAAGCAACAUCGAGUCUGGCCAGUAUUUAGAUGGGUGACCGCUUAGGAAUACUAGAU